UGGGGAAUAUUGCACAAUGGGCGAAAGCCUGAUGCAGCGACGCCGCGUGCGGGAUGAAGGCCUUCGGGUUGUAAACCGCUUUUAAUUGGGAGCAAGCGAGAGUGAGUGUACCUUUUGAAUAAGCACCGGCUAACUACGUGCCAGCAGCCGCGGUAAUACGUAGGGUGCAAGCGUUAUCCGGAAUUAUUGGGGCGUAAAGAGCUCGUAGGCGGUUUGUCACGCCUGGUGUGAAAGUCCAUCGCUUAACGGUGGAUCUGCGCCGGGUACGGGCAGGCUAGAGUGCAGU
rnacentral:rRNA from 1 species